rnacentral:lncRNA from 1 species
GGGGAAAGACAAGUUCGGAGUUUAAGGUCCGCCUUACCUGUACCACAGCAAAAUAAGACAUGAAGUUUAUUGGAAUGGUAGUUGGCACGAUCACUAGAACGACGGGCUCUUUAAGUCUCCACAGCGGCUCCUAAACACAUGCGAUUCACAACGGCGCAAUCAGCCUUUCCCGGAAGGAGCAGAUUCCGUUUCCGCUCGCGGAUCUUCGGGGUGGGUGUGACCGCUAGACAUCCAACCCACAGACUAUGGGCGGCCCUCCAUCACGCGCAUGCGCUCGAAGAUGGCCAGAGACCGGAAGUGCAGGGGCGUGGACAACCGCUUCAGACUGCCGGCUCCUGCAGUGAGUCUGGGGGCGCGCGCAAAUGCGCGCUCGUUCGCGCGGCCUGCUGCGUACAGUAGUGACGGCCGCGCGGGAGGGGUCACAUGACCACAGCGGCUGCCUGUACAGUAAGAACCCAAUAUGGCAGCGGCGGUAGCAGUGGCAACGGCAGCAGGACCGGCCGCCCCGUAGAUCUCCCCCCCCUCCUGCGCGCCUCCGCGGCCGC